CUGCAGAAUAAGGAUCGGAACUUUACAGAGGUAAACUGUGUCUGUUCUUUUUACUAUUACAGCAGUUCAUCGUGGCCCUGUCAUUCGCCUCCUUCACCAAAGCUCUGUCAGGGACCUACAUGAAGAGUGCCAUCACUCAGAGACACUUUGACCUGUCCAGCUCUCAUCGGACUCAUAGACGGCAGCUUUGAGAUGGGUAACCUGCUGUUCCUGGCUGUGGUCAGCCAUUUUGGGGCGAAGCUGCACCGGCCCAGGCUCAUUGCUAUGGCUGUAGGAUCCUUCCUCACAGGCCUGCCACACUUCUUCAUGGGACGGUAAAACAACUGAAAUACUGGUUAAACUUGUGCUUCGAGAGAUACGCCAAUGUGGAGGAUAGUUUCACUUUAGAAAUAAAGAAAUGUAUCCAGUUGUUGAUUAAUCUCAGUUAACUUAGAACUAAAGUCUUGCGUAAUUGGUCAGCUGCUUGAUUAUGUUUUGGGGCCAUACAUGUUAAGAGAAGGGAUUAAGAGAUGCUAUAACUGUGAUGUGGUAAAGUUGGACCCAGGUGCAGAGAAGAGACCAGAAGAUGAAGCAGUGGUUCCAACCAGUGUCUCCACCCCUCAAGGGCCCACUUAACUGCCAAGAGCUCCCGGUUGCCUACAUCAUAGUUGCCUUCCGCUGGUCGAGAACCACUUAGAGAGAAAGGCGCAUGGGUGCAGUUUCUUGUCCUCCUCGUUCCGCUGUGAAAGGACCGCCCCAGCUCCGGUGUCCGAGGCGUCCACCUCUACCACAAAGGGGCGAGUAGGAUCAGGAUGAACGAGGAUGGGUCCGAAGGUGAAACGUCCCUUGAGCUCUAUGAAUGACCUGUCAGCCUCGGGAUUCCAGAAAAAACCUGCUUGAGUGAGGUGGGACAGGGCUGUAUGUGUUCCGGAAGGGUUUUUGGAGAAGAUCAGGAUGUCGUCGAGGUAAACAAAGACGAACCGGUUCAACAUAUCCCUAAGAGUGUCAUUGAUCAAUGCUUGAAAGACUGCCGGUGAGUUCGAUAUUCCAAAGGUCAUGACUAAAUACUCAGUGACCACUAGGGGUGUUAAAGGCAGUUUUCCACUCAUUUCCCCCCCUGAUUCUCAGCAGAUUUUAAGCAUUGCGGAGGUCCAGUUUGGUGAAGAAUUGGGCUCCUAGGGCCAACUCCAAGGCGGUGGACAUCGGGUAGGGGGUAACGAUUCUUGAUCCUAAUCCUUUUCAGCCCUCUGUAAUCGAUGCAAGGACUGAAGUUUGGGUCAGAGACAGAGAGACAAGGGAUGCGUUUAGACAGGCAGCCCAAUUAUGAUAUAUUUUCCACUAAUUGGUCUUUUGACCAAUCACAUUAGAUAUUUUCGCAUCAGCUCUUUUUCAGAGCAUAUCUGAUUGGUCAAAAUACAAAUUACUCAAAAAAAUUACUGAAUUGGGCAGCCUGUCUCAACGAAGCCAUAGAAUCCUGGACAUGCUCCAACUGAAAUGUUCCCUCCUGUCAGUACUGAUGUUGAAUGGCAUUAAAUACAUUUUUUUCCUCUCCCAUCCCCUGUAGGUUUGAUGAACAUGAGUGGAAAUGAAACUCCAGCACACUGGUAGCACUAAAGACGUGUGAGUAUAACUUUUCCAGGUGAGUUGAACCUGCCUGUGGGUGCGGUGGGGAUAUUCCUGGGAGGUCUACUGAUGAAGAGGUAUAAGCUUGGCGUUGUGUCUGGAGCCCAGCUGUCUUUCAUCACCUCCUUCAUGGCCUACCUCCUCCUCCCUCUGCAGUCUGGCACUAAGUGUGACAACGUUAAGGUCGCUGGUCUGACCAUGUCCUACAACAGGUCCCCUGGUGUACGAUGGCAGCCUGUUGUCAGAGUGUAACAGAGACUGCUCCUGCUUGGCUGGGGAGUGGGACCCUGUGUGUUCAGACAACGGCAUCACCUACACCUCCCCCUGCCUCGCAGGCUGCUCCAGCUUUACAGGUUACGGCAAGAACACGAGUGAUCUUCCUUGGCCUCAUCACAUGUCUCAGUGGCUCCUCCUUAGGAGGGAGGGGGACACCACCACGGUACAGCCCCCACACUCAUCGCUAGAGAUCGAACUUCAGACUCCCUCCAAAACCACUGAACCCCUCAACACACCGAAAGAGAUUACGGUGCACACCCUUAGAGGGAGCCGAAACAGGAUAACUCCCUCCAAACUCACAAAGACACAGAGGAGGAGGAACUAUCCAACACCCAGGGAGAGAGAACGAGUGACCUCAGUCGAACACAGAAAGAGGAGGUGGAAGAGGCGUUAGAUAGAGGAGGAGGUUACCCCAGAGGCAAUUCCUCCUGUUCAUGUGAGCAAGAAAGAGCAGAAGGCUUCUGAUCAGCCAAAUGGCAGGCAGAGGGAGAGGUCAUAGUGAUUCACACCCACAGAGAGAAAGACAACCCACACAACCUCUUGGUUGAGAUGAACCACACAGAGGUAGAGGCAGAGGGCCUUCAGGGCUAGCCAGUCAGCCUGCCUGCUCUGAUCCUCAAGUCAAUUGUAUUUAAAUUCAUGUUCAUUAAAGAUUUUUAUUCAAGAAUUUAAAAGUCCCAUUUACUUAAUGAUCAUUUUUCACUGUGUUCAACCCUCAAGAACCAGGGUGAGUCUGGGUCGCCCUUUUACUG